rnacentral:lncRNA from 1 species
UCUUGUUGACAAUGCUUUGACGAAAAUCAGGUAGAAGUUGAGUCCGCCAAUCCAGUGUCCAUAGCUCCGGCUGCAGCUCCAACUCGGGCGGUCCCUUCACUCCCAAAAUAUGCAUUUCAUCUCAAAUGCAUCUUCGUUAGACAGCUAAAUCUGACACUUCUUUAGGCAGAUAAAAGUUUUUCUUCUCCUCAGAGCAUAAAAAUGAUCAAGGUAGGUACAGGCAACUGAGAAUUUUCAGCGGUGAGAAAGGAACAUUGACGAGAGAGGGGAGACUGAACACUCAGCGUCCAUAGCUCCGGCUGCAGCUCCAGCUGGGGCGGUACCUUCACUCCCCAAAAUAUGCAUUUCAUUUCAAAAGCUUCUUCAUUAGACAACUAAAUCUGACACUUCAUUAAGCAGAUAAAAGUUUUUCUUCCCCUCAGAACAUAAAACAAUCAGAAGAAGAAAAACUUAGAUGAUGUUCAAAGGUGAUGUCAACGAUGAGAGGCAGAGGGCGGGGCUUGUAAUGUCAACGUAGGUAUGGAAGUCGGAGGGCAACUGAGAAUUUUCAGUGGUGAGAAAACAACAUUGCGCUAGAGGGGAGAGUGAACACUUUCCUGUACACUUGGUAGCCAUAGAGAGCAAGCUUUUCCAACAUCAUAACUAAGUCAUUAGGUUUAUACAAAGCGUCCUGUCGCACAAAUGAUUUGUUAUUGUGAAAUACAGCACAUGAACUUUCAUUGCUCACCUGGGUCAUGGGCAUUCUGUCCACUAAUUGCAUCAUUGGCCGAAUUGGUCAUAGGAUCUUGAGACUUUGUCUCCAUAGUCAGCAUCUUUAGAGAUAUUUUUCGUAGAUAAUCUGGCUGAAACAUUAGAAAAAUUAGAGUUAAAUUCAAAAAUGCAUACAACAUGUCAAAUGACUUGAAAUGUAAAUGCACAUUAAUACAAGCAGGAAUAACGUCAACCAGGUGGAAAACAAUUGCAUUAUUCAAACAAAGAGAAAUAAGUUUAGGUUGCAUACCUGACUUGUAGCAGCAGUAUAGAUCUUUUCCUCAAACCUCAAUGCAAUUUUCUUGAGCUCCUGAACUCCUUCUUCUCCAGUGACAGGAAGAUGCCUCUUUAAGGUCUCCGUUCUAUACAGUCAUAUCAACAAAAAAUCAGCUUAACGGGUUGAUAAGAGCAGAAUCUAGAUAAAACGUUUUUUAAUGAUGAAAAUGUUUUGACAUUACGCCCUGUGGUGAAAAGCCUAAGACCUGUUUUCUUGUGACAAUAUUAGUCAGUAUUAUUAUCCAAUUAACUCGCGCUGCUACCUUUCAUUUCGACAUAUCUAGAACAAAAUGUAUGGCACAGAGAGUUAAAGUAGGUUUUCCGCUCGGACUAGUUCCCUUGAGUGAUUACCAGAAUUGGAAAUAUCUAGGGCAUCAACUUCCAAUUAACCCACCCAAUAAUCGGAUUACUCAAUUCACUUAGAGGAGUGUGUUUUGUUAAAGGAAAGCCAUAAAACAGGUAUCCAUUAGACUUGUCAAACUUCUGCCUAAGUGGUUAUUCUCAGAAGCAAAACAAAAAGGAAGUCUAAAGUUGAAAUCCAAAAUACUUGACAAAAAUUUUAUAAAAAAAAAGGAACAAGCUGCAAGAAAAGAAAAAGAAAAUUACAUCUUGUUGACAAUCCUUUGACGAGAAUCAGGUAGAAGUUGAGUCCGACAAUCAACGGCGUCCAUAGCUCCGGCUGCAGCUCCAACUGGGGUGGUACCUUCACUCCCCAAAAUAUGCAUUUCAUUUCAAAAGCUUCUUCGUUAGACAACUAAAUCUGACACUUCUUUAAGCAGAUAAAAUUUUUUCUUCCCCUCAGAACAUAAAACAAUCAGAAGAAAAAAAAACUUAGAUGAUGUUCAAAGGUGAUGUCAACAAUGAGAGGCAGAGGGCGGGGCUUGUAAUGUCAAGGUAGGUAUGGAAGUCGAAGGGCAACUGAGAAUUUUCAGUGGUGAGAAAGGAACAUUGCGCGAGACGGGAGAGCGAACACUUUCCUGUACACUUUGUAGCCAUAGAGAGCAAGCUUUUCCAACAUCAUAGCUAAGUCAUUAGGUUUAUACAAAGCGUCCUGUCACACAAAUGAUUUGUUAUUGUGAAAUACAGCACAUGAACUUUCAUUGCUCACCUGGGUCAUGGGCAUUCUGACCAGUAGUUGCAGCAUUGGCCGAACUGGUCAUAGGAACUUGAGAGUUUGUCUCCAUAGUCAGCAUCUUUAGAGAUAUUUUUCGUAGAUAAUCUGGCUGCAACAUUAGAAAAAUUAGAGUUAAAUUCAAAAAUGCAUACAACAUGUCAAAUGACUUGAAACGUAAAUGCACAUUAAUACAAGCAGGAAUAACGUCAACCAGGUGGAAAACAAUUGCAUUAUUCAGACAAAGAGAAGUUUAGGCUGCAUACCUGACUUGUAGCAGCAGUAUAGAUCUUUUCCUCAAACCCCAGUGCAAUUUUCAUAAGCUCCUGAACUCCUUGUCUAGUGACAGGAAGAUGCCUCUUUAAGGUCUCGGUUCUAGACAGUCAUAUCAGCAAAACUUCAGUUUAACGGGUUGAUAAGAGCGCAAUCUAGAUAAGACGUUUUCUAACGAUGAAAAUGUUUUGACAUUACCCCUGCUGUGACAGCCUAAGACCUGUUUUCUCGUGACAAUAUUAGUUAGUAUUAUUAUCCAAUUAGCUUGCGCUGCUAUUUGUCAUUUCGACAUAUGUAAGCCACAAAGAGGUAGAGUAGGUUUUCCACUCGGACUAGAUCCUUGAGUGAUUACCAGAACUGGAAAUAUCUAGGUCAUCAACUUCCAAUUAAUCCACCCAAUAAUAGGAUUACUCAGUUCUCUUAGAGAAGUGUGUUUUCAUUAAAGGAAAGCCGAAAAACAAGUGUCCAUUAGACUUAUCGAACUUCUGCCUAAAUGGUUAUUCUCGGAAGCUGAUAAACACAAAGGAAACCUGAAGCCGAAAUCCAAAAUCCUUGACAAAAGAAAAAAAGUACAAGCUGCAAGAAAAGAAAAAGAAAAUUACAUCUUGUUGACAAUGCUUUGACGAAAAUCAGGUAGAAGUUGAGUCCGCCAAUCCAGUGUCCAUAGCUCCGGCUGCAGCUCCAACUCGGGCGGUCCCUUCACUCCCAAAAUAUGCAUUUCAUCUCAAAUGCAUCUUCGUUAGACAGCUAAAUCUGACACUUCUUUAGGCAGAUAAAAGUUUUUCUUCUCCUCAGAGCAUAAAAAUGAUCAAGGUAGGUACAGGCAACUGAGAAUUUUCAGCGGUGAGAAAGGAACAUUGACGAGAGAGGGGAGACUGAACACUUCCCUCUACACUUUGUAGCCAUAGAGAGCGGGAUUUUCAACAUCAUAACUAAGUAAUCAUGUCAGACAAAUGAUUGGUUAAUGUGAAAUACAGCACAGGAACUUUCAUUCCUCACCUGAGUCAUGAGCAUUCUGACCACUACUUGCAGCAUUGCUCGAAUUGGUCAUAAGAUUUUGAGAUUUUGUCUCCAUAGUCAGCAUCUUUAGAGAUAUUUUUUGUAGAUAAU